rnacentral:rRNA from 1 species
UACAGAGGUCUCAAGCGUUGUUCGGAUUCAUUGGGCGUAAAGGGCGCGUAGGCUGCGGGGCAAGUCGGGUGUGAAAUCUCAGAGCUCAACUCUGAAACUGCACUCGAUACUGCUUUGCUUGAGGACUGGAGAGGAGAUUGGAAUUCACGGUGUAGCAGUGAAAUGCGUAGAUAUCGUGAGGAAGACCAGUGGCGAAGGCGGAUCUCUGGACAGUUCCUGACGCUGAGGCGCGAAGGCCCAGGGGAGCAAACGGG